GACGACCGCUGGCGGCGUGCUUACCACAUGCAAGUCGAACGAAGUGGCGAACGGGUGAGUAACGCGUAAUCAACCUGCCCUUCAGAGGGGGACAACAGUUGGAAACGACUGCUAAUACCGCAUACUGAAGGAGGGGAUUGCGUCUGAUUAGCUGGUUGGAGGGGUAACGGCCCACCAAGGCGAUGAUCAGUGGCCGGUCUGAUAGGAUGAACGGCCACAUUAGGACUGAGACACGGCCCAGACUCCUACGGGAGGCAGCCAGGGGGAAUCUUCCGCAAUGGACGAAAGUCUGACGGAGCAACGCCGCGUGAGGGAUGACGGCCUUCGGGUUGUAAAGCUCUGUUAAUCGGGACGCGGUACCGGAAUAGAAAGCCACGGCUAACUACGUGCCAGCAGCCGCGGUAAUUC
rnacentral:rRNA from 1 species